rnacentral:pre_miRNA from 1 species
CUCGGAGAGUGCAGCUGUGGGUGUCAGGGUCAGGCACACGCACAGCACCUCACUGAGCU